rnacentral:rRNA from 1 species
UACGUAGGGUGCGAGCGUUAAUCGGAAUUACUGGGCGUAAAGCGUGCGCAGGCGGUUUUGUAAGCCAGGUGUGGAAUCCCCGGGCUCAACCUGGGAAUGGCAUUUGGGACUGCAAGGCUGGAGUGCGGCAGAGGAGACUGGAAUUCCUGGUGUAGCAGUGAAAUGCGUAGAUAUCAGGAGGAAUACCGAUGGCGAAGGCAGGUCUCUGGGCUGACACUGACGCUCAUGCACGAAAGCGUGGGGAGCAAACAGG